GCGAAAGCCUGAUCCAGCAAUACCGCGUGUGUGAAGAAGGCCUUAGGGUUGUAAAGCACUUUCAAUUGGGAGGAAAACCUGCCGGUCAAUACCCGGUAGCUUGACAUUACCUUUAGAAGAAGCACCGGCUAACUCCGUGCCAGCAGCCGCGGUAAUACGGAGGGUGCGAGCGUUAAUCGGAAUUACUGGGCGUAAAGCGUGCGUAGGCGGUUCGUUAAGUCAGAUGUGAAAGCCCUGGGCUCAACCUGGGAACUGCAUUUGAAACUGGCUGACUAGAGUUUAGUAGAGGGGAGUGGAAUUUCAGGUGUAGCGGUGAAAUGCGUAGAUAUCUGAAGGAACACCAGUGGCGAAGGCGACUCCCUGGACUAGAACUGACGCUGAGGUAC
rnacentral:rRNA from 1 species